rnacentral:rRNA from 1 species
CGAGGGGCAGCGCGGGGCGGCAACGUCCUGGCGGCGACCGGCGGAAGGGUGCGUAACGCGUGAGCGACAUGCCCGUUGCCCGGGGACAACCGGUGGAAACGCCGACUAAUCCCCGAUGGGACGGAGGCCCUCAUGGGUCUCUGUUGAAAGUUACGGCGGCGACGGAUUGGCUCGCGUCCGAUUAGCUUGUUGGCGGGGUAACGGCCCACCAAGGCUACGAUCGGUAGGGGUUCUGAGAGGAAGGUCCCCCACAAUGGAACUGAGACACGGUCCAUACUCCUACGGGAGGCAGCAGUGAGGAAUAUUGGUCAAUGGGCGGAAGCCUGAACCAGCCAUGCCGCGUGCGGGAAGGAGGCCCUAUGGGCUGUGAACCGCUUUUGCCUGGGGGCAAUAAGGGCGUCGUGCACGUCCGAUGAGAGUACCAGGCGAAUAAGCAUCGGCUAACUCCGUGCCAGCAGCCGCGGUAAUACGGGGGAUGCGAGCGUUAUCCGGAUUCAUUGGGUUUAAAGGGUGCGUAGGCUGUGCGUCAAGUCAGGGGUGAAAUUCCGGGGCUCAACUCCGGGGCUGCCCUUGAUACUGUCGCGCUGGAGUGCGGAUGCCGCCGGAGGAAUGAGUGGUGUAGCGGUGAAAUGCUUAGAUAUCACUCAGAACACCGAUUGCGAAGGCAUCUGGCGAAUCCGUAACUGACGCUGAGGCACGAAAGCGUGGGGAUAGAACAGGAUUAGAUACCCUGGUAUUCCACGCCGUAAACGAUGAUGGCUAACCGCCGGCGACACACUGUCGGUGGCCAAGCGAAAGCGAUAAGCCAUCCACCUGGGGAGUACGUCGGCAACGAUGCAACUCAA